GUGCGCCUGGCGCAAUUGGGAGCGCAAGUGACUCUUAAUCACUGGGUUACAGGUUCGAGCCCUGUGGCGCACA
rnacentral:tRNA from 2 species